rnacentral:tRNA from 1 species
AAAAACUUAGUUAAAUAAUAACGUUAGUUUGUCAAACUAAAAUUAUCUAGAGAUAGUUUUUU